rnacentral:rRNA from 1 species
CGGGACACGUGGUAUCCUGUCUGAAUAUGGGGGGACCAUCCUCCAAGGCUAAAUACUCCUGACUGACCGAUAGUGAACCAGUACCGUGAGGGAAAGGCGAAAAGAACCCCGGCGAGGGGAGUGAAAAAGAACCUGAAACCGUGUACGUACAAGCAGUGGGAGCACGCUUCGGCGUGUGACUGCGUACCUUUUGUAUAAUGGGUCAGCGACUUAUAUUCUGUAGCAAGGUUAACCGAAUAGGGGAGCCGAAGGGAAACCGAGUCUUAACUGGGCGUUAAGUUGCAGGGUAUAGACCCGAAACCCGGUGAUCUAGCCAUGGGCAGGUUGAAGGUUGGGUAACACUAACUGGAGGACCGAACCGACUAAUGUUGAAAAAUUAGCGGAUGACUUGUGGCUGGGGGUGAAAGGCCAAUCAAACCGGGAGAUAGCUGGUUCUCCCCGAAAGCUAUUUAGGUAGCGCCUCGUGAAUUCAUCUCCGGGGGUAGAGCACUGUUUCGGCAAGGGGGUCAUCCCGACUUACCAACCCGAUGCAAACUGCGAAUACCGGAGAAUGUUAUCACGGGAGACACACGGCGGGUGCUAACGUCCGUCGUGAAGAGGGAAACAACCCAGACCGCCAGCUAAGGUCCCAAAGUCAUGGUUAAGUGGGAAACGAUGUGGGAAGGCCCAGACAGCCAGGAUGUUGGCUUAGAAGCAGCCAUCAUUUAAAGAAAGCGUAAUAGCUCACUGGUCGAGUCGGCCUGCGCGGAAGAUGUAACGGGGCUAAACCAUGCACCGAAGCUGCGGCAGCGACGCUUAUGCGUUGUUGGGUAGGGGAGCGUUCUGUAAGCCUGUGAAGGUGUGCUGUGAGGCAUGCUGGAGGUAUCAGAAGUGCGAAUGCUGACAUAAGUAACGAUAAAGCGGGUGAAAAGCCCGCUCGCCGGAAGACCAAGGGUUCCUGUCCAACGUUAAUCGGGGCAGGGUGAGUCGACCCCUAAGGCGAGGCCGAAAGGCGUAGUCGAUGGGAAACAGGUUAAUAUUCCUGUACUUGGUGUUACUGCGAAGGGGGGACGGAGAAGGCUAUGUUGGCCGGGCGACGGUUGUCCCGGUUUAAGCGUGUAGGCUGGUUUUCCAGGCAAAUCCGGAAAAUCAAGGCUGAGGCGUGAUGACGAGGCACUACGGUGCUGAAGCAACAAAUGCCCUGCUUCCAGGAAAAGCCUCUAAGCAUCAGGUAACAUCAAAUCGUACCCCAAACCGACACAGGUGGUCAGGUAGAGAAUACCAAGGCGCUUGAGAGAACUCGGGUGAAGGAACUAGGCAAAAUGGUGCCGUAACUUCGGGAGAAGGCACGCUGAUAUGUAGGUGAAGCGACUUGCUCGUGGAGCUGAAAUCAGUCGAAGAUACCAGCUGGCUGCAACUGUUUAUUAAAAACACAGCACUGUGCAAACACGAAAGUGGACGUAUACGGUGUGACGCCUGCCCGGUGCCGGAAGGUUAAUUGAUGGGGUCAGCGCAAGCGAAGCUCUUGAUCGAAGCCCCGGUAAACGGCGGCCGUAACUAUAACGGUCCUAAGGUAGCGAAAUUCCUUGUCGGGUAAGUUCCGACCUGCACGAAUGGCGUAAUGAUGGCCAGGCUGUCUCCACCCGAGACUCAGUGAAAUUGAACUCGCUGUGAAGAUGCAGUGUACCCGCGGCAAGACGGAAAGACCCCGUGAACCUUUACUAUAGCUUGACACUGAACAUUGAGCCUUGAUGUGUAGGAUAGGUGGGAGGCUUUGAAGUGUGGACGCCAGUCUGCAUGGAGCCGACCUUGAAAUACCACCCUUUAAUGUUUGAUGUUCUAACGUUGACCCGUAAUCCGGGUUGCGGACAGUGUCUGGUGGGUAGUUUGACUGGGGCGGUCUCCUCCUAAAGAGUAACGGAGGAGCACGAAGGUUGGCUAAUCCUGGUCGGACAUCAGGAGGUUAGUGCAAUGGCAUAAGCCAGCUUGACUGCGAGCGUGACGGCGCGAGCAGGUGCGAAAGCAGGUCAUAGUGAUCCGGUGGUUCUGAAUGGAAGGGCCAUCGCUCAACGGAUAAAAGGUACUCCGGGGAUAACAGGCUGAUACCGCCCAAGAGUUCAUAUCGACGGCGGUGUUUGGCACCUCGAUGUCGGCUCAUCACAUCCUGGGGCUGAAGUAGGUCCCAAGGGUAUGGCUGUUCGCCAUUUAAAGUGGUACGCGAGCUGGGUUUAGAACGUCGUGAGACAGUUCGGUCCCUAUCUGCCGUGGGCGCUGGAGAACUGAGGGGGGCUGCUCCUAGUACGAGAGGACCGGAGUGGACGCAUCACUGGUGUUCGGGUUGUCAUGCCAAUGGCACUGCCCGGUAGCUAAAUGCGGAAGAGAUAAGUGCUGAAAGCAUCUAAGCACGAAACUUGCCCCGAGAUGAGUUCUCCCUGACCCUUUAAGGGUCCUGAAGGAACGUUGAAGACGACGACGUUGAUAGGCCGGGUGUGUAAGCGCAGCGAUGCGUUGAGCUAACCGGUACUAAUGAACCGUGAG